AGAGAAGACGGGCAGAACCAGAGCCGUGAUCUCGCGAGAACGGAGAGAAGCAGGCCAUAGGUUGAGGCCGUUGAGGGGCUUUCUUCCCCCCCUUUUUUUUAACUGUAGCUUUUUAACCGAUUUCGGUUCGUUCUCACGUCACGGGGCCGAACUGCUAAUAGCGAAAUACAGUGGUUCCUCGGGUUACAGGUGCUUCAGGCUACAGACUCCCUCGGGUUAAGUAGUACCUCGGGUUAAGAACUUUACCUCAGGAUGAGAACAGAAAUCGUUUGGCGGUAGCGGGAGGCUCCAUUAGCUAAAGUGGUACCUCAGGUUAAGAACAGCUUCAGGUUAAGAACGGACCUCCGGAACGAAUUAAGUUCUUAACCCGAGGUACCACUGUAUAGGGGAAGCUCGAAUCGGCUUGUGGCGAUUAUAAUCACUAUUAGGCCCGCAGCCCAUCCUGGCUGGGAAUUUGUUGCGGGGAAAACGACGCUCUUCCCGUGCGUCGUCCGAGGUCGGCUGGUGGCAGGAGUUUGGUUUCCUUUGGGAGGCUGCUCUGGGGUCAGUGCCAAGGAAAUUACUCCAAUGUCACAUGAGCUCUCGCGAUAGAGUCAUUUUUUAAAAAGAAAUUUUAUUAUUGUGUGGGCGGAGAGGGAAAACAAAUUUUAUCCGAAAUAUAAAUCCUCUACUGGAAGGUUCUCAGAAAAAGCAAGAGAGCCCCUAACAAAUGGGGCUUGUCGGUUGUACUGUCGCCACAAACGCGACUUGAUAGGCAUUUCAACUACAGACAUUUUAGGGCGAGGGGCAGGGAAAGUCACAUAACAACAUGCCAGUGAGACAGCAGAAACCUAAACACAAGCUGCGUAAGUUUGAAGUUGCUUUACGUUGAGCUGAAAGAAGUUUUAAGACCUGCUCUGGCUUCUGAAGCCACCUGCAGCAAAUGGAGGUGACAACCUACCAAUGCCACGAAACCUCACUAAAAUGGCUACUGCUGUCACUGGUCAUUACUGCCUUUAAAAAGAAAAAGGACGCUAACAAAAAAGAGGUCAAGAGAGGGACUAACGGAAGAGGGUAGAUAUGAAAAUGAGCUUGGCAAACAGGAGGCAGUCUUUCGAGUUCCCCCUCUCCCAUCCCUUGAUUGAUUAUUGGAGUCGAAUAUUUCCCUUUAUCUCUCUAUAAAUGCAUCUCUAAUGCAGUUGUCUCCCACAUCCAAAUGACCAGGCACAGAACACUGGAAAGCUGUAAACUGAACCAUUUUCAGGCCAUCAGUAUAGGCAGAUGUGCAAGCAAAAAUCUAGUACUAACUGGGAGAAUUACUACGUUUAUUUAAAAUUGUAGUGUUGACAAUAAUAAUUUAUAAAAUACAUGUUAUUAACUUUUAUAUUUUUAUUUUUCUCUUUUAUACUUUUUCAAGCAAUCGAUAAGUUUUGAUUAGUAAACUGAAGUAGGAUCCUGGUUACUGAUAUAUGUUGUUUUGGUUUAUUAUUUUGUUUUCCAGUCUAAAUAAUAAUGUAGCUAUAUUUAUUGUAGAGAUAUUGCCCAUAACUUUGUUAACAGCCUUCUGUGCAAGCUUCCAAGCUGAACAAGUGUUGCAGGAAAUAAAGCAGUACUGGAGACAAGAAAAGAAAAAUGAGGAUGUACUUUGUAAAAAUACUGAAACAUUGAACUAAUCCCUUGUAUGAAUCGUCAUGAAGGUUCUUGUCUUUUAGAAAGAGGCAUACUCAUUAUAGCAUUAAAAAGGUAGCAACACAAUUUUACUAAUAUUGGAUAGACAAUACUCCAUGCUAUUGCAAAUAGGAAAGAGAUUGUCACAUUCAUACAGUGGAAAAGCAGUUACUAUGCACGACAUCUGCUUUAAGUAAAAAUCAGAUUUAAAAGUUUCUAUUUGCUUAAGAUUUUUUUUUUUUUGAAACAGGAAAAUUGGAAGGAAAAUUCAAUGAAUGUUGGAUUCAUCACUAACUCAUAGUAAUGCAGAUGAGAAAAGGAUUUUAAUUUGCAGAAGUCAAAAUAAUACAAGGGAGUUUAUAUAAUAAACCAAGUUACUAAUUUUAUGCAAAGCAUUUUAAUAAAGAUACUACUAACAUUAAUGACACAAAAGGUCAAACUCCCUUUGGUUUCUUUUAAACAUACAUCAUUAUGCGUAUCCUGUAAAGCCAGCAGUUACAACUGUCUGUUAACAUCGCUUUCUUUCUUCAAAGUUCGGUGAAUUUCCAUGUAAAUGAUAUGAAACAAGCUACUUCAUCUGUCAAGGUAAAACUAUGAGAACAAUCAAAUCUUCCUGCGUGCAGAAAGUCCAGAGAAACUUUGCAAAUGAAUGCACAGUAUGGGAUACAAGGGAGGAAAGCUACCACAAUAGGAGUAUUUUCUCAUGUUUUCUCAUGUUUCAGCAAGUAUGAUCCGAAGAGGAGCUGGAUUGUUUUUGUUACAGGGCAAAAAAGCCUUAAAAAAAUAUUUUGAAAUUUUCUAAGAUCAUGCCACUGUAAUUACCCUGUGUGUAACUUUUAGAAUAAAACUAUAUUAUCCUGUAGUUUCAUUUUUUUUACAUGAAAGGUUAUAAACAAUUAUCCCAGAGCUAGAAAGUGCUUAUUUGGUUCACCUUCAUGUGGCCAAGAAGAAAAUAUAUUUCACCAAUGAAUAUCUGAGCUCAUUAGAAAGCUCAUCUAUUGUUUUUAAUGCAGUUAUCCUCUUGGCACUUGAUCCAUCUAAACAGGGAUAAGGUAUA